rnacentral:lncRNA from 1 species
UUUGAUAAGAACAUCACGAGGCGUGGAUCUGUGGCUCAAUCAUCUACAAAGAAGGGGAAUAGCUAUCCUGUUGGGCCUAUUAUGCUUGGCUUCUUUGUGUUUGUUGUUAUUGGAUCAUCUCUGGUUCAGAUCAUCAGGACGGCUACAAGUGGUGGAAUGGCUUGAAGAUCAUCUAAUACAUUGUCAUUGAUGGCUGUAUCAUUUACUUUGUUUCUUUUACAGUUUACCCUUAGAGAACCAUUGUUACUUGCCAACACAACUAAUCAAAAUAUUAU